rnacentral:rRNA from 1 species
UACGGGGGGGGUAAGCGUUGUUCGGAAUUACUGGGCGUAAAGAGCUCGUAGGCGGUCUGUCGCGUCGGCUGUGAAAACCCGAGGCUCAACCUCGGGCCUGCAGUCGAUACGGGCAGACUAGAGUGUGCUAGGGGAGACUGGAAUUCCUGGUGUAGCGGUGAAAUGCGCAGAUAUCAGGAGGAACACCGGUGGCGAAGGCGGCAUCCUGGACCAAUACUGACGCUGAGGAGCGAAAGCCAGGGGAGCAAACGGG